CUGCCUAUAAUUAUCUCGAUCGAGAAACCUCCCGACUUUAUUUCUGUGUUAACUUUUACAAAGCUAGCUGGAUCGGCUUCACAAAACCUACUGAGAGCACCUUCGCCGCACUACCAAUUCCUACGUACGUCAUCGUUUGAAGUCCUGCAACCUCUCUACCGGUGUGAGUAAGCUUUGGAUUACUGUCAAGGCCUUGUCUAGUUCGAGGAAAAAUGACGACCGAAUUGAAAUUGAAUUCAACGGCUAUGCCUCCUCGGACCCGAAGAAGUGCGCGAACUAUUUUACCAGGCAAUUUACACUGCACCCUUCGACAGACAAGGCCAAACGAUGUGUUACCCGACAGCUGCGCAAAAUGCUAAAACACCGCGCUCCACCUACUUUCUCCGAUGGGGAGGUUCAGAGUGCCAUCAACAAGGCCAAAUCGUCCAAAUUAAUAGGCCCCGACAGAAUAAGCAUGCUGAUGCUAAAACAACUAGGCUCGACAUGAGUAAACUAUCUCACGAAGGUCCUCAACCAGUCGCUGACCACUCUUCAAAUACCCGAUGUGUGGAAAGUAAGAAGAGUGGUCCCACUACUGAAACCUGGGAAACCCGCCAACAAAGGGGAGUCUUAUCGUCCGAUAAAUCUCCUUUCACCAGUAGUGAAGACACUUGAUUCCAUGCUACUCCCGACAUUCACUCACCACCUGAGCCUAGUAGACCAUUUCCAGCAUUCCAGAAAGUGCACAGCACCACCACAGCACUUAGCGACAUAAACGCCCAGAAAGUUCAUGGCCUAAACCAAAAGCCACUCUGCGAGAGGACCAUGCUCGUAGCGUUGGGCUUGUCAAAAGCUUUUGACACAGUCAUCACAAAAGGCUACUUGAGGACAUCGAACAAUCCACGCUCCCUCCAGGGUUGAAAAGGUGGACUAUGAACUAUCUGAGCAGUCGGAAUUCAUCCGUACUGGUUCGAUGUCAAAACUCCAAACUGAGAAGAAUUAAACAGGAGGUUCGGCAGGGCAGUGUCCUCUCCCCGCUACUGAUUAACUUCUAUAAUUCGAAACUCUCACAACCACCAGAGGAAUUCCAUGACCUAGUAUAUAUAAUAUAUAUAAUAUGCGAAGAUAAAAGUUCCCGGAUAUUAUCGUUUCGUCUACAUAUAUAGUAGGAUGUGUAAGUUCUAGUCAUGAUUCAAUUAUAUAAGGUUGUGGCGAACGGAGCGUGCUUCCUUUUACGAAAGAAAUGUUUGUAUCCAUAAUGUCAAAGAAACUAUUUACAUUGGAAUGAAAUGAAAUCUUUGCAAAAUUUGUUAUUGAAUCAUACAAAGUACAAAGAAAAACGGCUGCUUUUGACAUGAUGAAAUUACUUUUGAAAAAUUGUUGUUUUUCGGCUAUCGACACAACCUUAUAUACCAUAAUUGAAUCCAUGGUUCUAGUCAGUUUUUUCAACUAACAAACAGGCUCAAAACUUCAAUAGCGCUCAAUUUCUUGUCAAUGUUAAACUAUAAAAAUUAGUAAAAAAAUGUCCCCAUGUCAUUUAAAUACUUACAUAUAAUAUAUGGCAAUUGAAAGGUUAUGAAUGGUAAAGUUAGGAAUAUUUAUAUUUAGAGCUCAAAUGUUAAGAUGUUUCUUUUUAACUUUUGAAACCUGUACCAGAGAAUGUUAAUGAAUUCAUUCUCUGGUAUAGUGGAUAGCUCGUCAAUGUGACCUAUAUAAAAAAAAGCAAGUUCACAGCUCAUUGGCUGGCUCUUACAAGUGUCGAACUCUCGUUUUAUACCAAUUAUUUUGUUUAAAAUGGAUCUUUAAAAUUAUGAAACAUAAUUUUGUUAAAAAUAAAUCAAUAAAUAUCUUACUGAAAUAAGUAAUUGUGUACAGGUUUAAGAAAAAUAUGUACAAUAGUAUUAUUCAAAGUAUUGACGAUAUGAAGCUGUGUAAUUUUCCUGCACCGGCCUGGCCGUCCUUGUUCUGAUGUAAACUGUAUUCCAGUGAAGGUGUUCUGCAUCGACUGGAAGUACUUCUUAGCCGUAUUAUUUCAAUUUAUUAGGUUUCCUUCAUAUCCUCAGGCUUAAUAUUCGACAAACUAUUUGAUUGAAACAAAAAAUUAUAGUUAUGUUUACGUUGCUUUCCAAGGCAUGUGCAGAAUAUUGGUUACGGCAUACAAUACGGCAAACCUCAUGAAUAUUGUUACAAACCCAAAUAUACAUAUAAGAAUAUUUCUUCACAAUCAGUAUAUUUCGUUCUGUCAUGUUUAUUAUUUGGGGUCUAGUCCCCUCUUUGAAGUAGUCGAACAAUUUUACAUCACUGUCAAGGAUUAUCAUUAUCAUCAACAACUCAAAGAUGCAUAGUCAAUAUAUACCUAAUUCCACGAAACUAUUGUAAUAUUUAUACUAUUUCAGAUAACGGCCCAUCCACAUGGGAACUUUAAAUUGUAUUAAAUAAAUGAUGGAUGAGACUACUUAAAACACACACGCAUACAUAAGAGUGCAGAUUUCAAGGCUAUGCAACAGUAGACUGCUAAAGAGGAAGAAGAAGUGUGUCAAAAUUGGGAAGUUGCUCUCUCAAAGACCAAAAUGCAAGGAAACGGAAAACUAGCAAGAACAAUUUAAUUUUAUAUAAUUAUUGUGAUAAUGAUACUUGUAUAAAUAUUUUCAAAGUAAAUAAUUGUUUAUCUUUACGACCAUCCAAGGUCCACUCGAUCCACAUAUAAGUUUUAUUUUUUGAAAUAUUACUAGCAUAAUCCUAGUGUG